GACGAACGCUGGCGGCGUGCUUAACACAUGCAAGUCGAACGAGAAGAGAUGAGAAGCUUGCUUCUUAUCAAUUCGAGUGGCAAACGGGUGAGUAACGCGUAAGCAACCUGCCCUUCAGAUGGGGACAACAGCUGGAAACGGCUGCUAAUACCGAAUACGUUCUUUUUGUCGCAUGGCAGAGGGAAGAAAGGGGAGGCUCUUCGGAGCUUUCGCUGAAGGAGGGGCUUGCGUCUGAUUAGCUAGUUGGAGGGGUAACGGCCCACCAAGGCGACGAUCAGUAGCCGGCCUGAGAGGAUGAACGGCCACAUUGGGACUGAGACACGGCCCAGACUCCUACGGGAGGCAGCAGUGGGAA
rnacentral:rRNA from 1 species